GACAGAGGCCUCGAGCGUUAGGCGGAAUCACUGGGCUUAAAGCGUGUGUAGGCGGAUCGUUAAGUACCUUGUGAAAUCCCACGGCUCAACCGUGGAACGGCUGGGUGUACUGGCGGUCUUGGGCCAUUCAGGGGCGACUGGAACAAGCGGUGGAGCGGUGAAAUGCGUAGAUAUCGCUUGGAACGCCGAAGGUGAAAACAGGUCGCUGGGGAUGUGCCGACGCUGAGACACGAAAGCCAGGGGAGCAAACGGG
rnacentral:rRNA from 1 species